CUCUCGAGUCUCCCAUCUAGUGCCUGAUCCACCUCUACUUGGAGCUCCACCUCAUUCUGGGCUCCUCCUGGCUCCUGAAGCUCCACUUCACACUGGGCUCCCUAUCAUGUAGUAAUAUCCUCUCAUCCUCUUCUUUUCCUCCAAAAUAAUCCUAUCGCCGUGCAACACCUUCAGGAUGCCUCCACCAGCUACCAUCCUGUAGCUUCUCGAAUCCAAUCUACUCAGUGAGAUAAGAUUCUGCCUGAAAUCGGAUAUGUAUCGGACCUCUCUCAAUCUUCUCACUGCACCAUUAUGUGUCCUCCAACUGAUCAUCCCAAUACCUCUGAUCG
rnacentral:lncRNA from 1 species